AGUGAACGCUGGCGGUAGGCCUAACACAUGCAAGUCGAACGGCAGCACAGUAAGAGCUUGCUCUUACGGGUGGCGAGUGGCGGACGGGUGAGGAAUACAUCGGAAUCUACUUUUGCGUGGGGGAUAACGUAGGGAAAAUUACGCUAAUACCGCAUACGACCUACGGGUGAAAUCAGGGGAUCUUCGGACCUUGCGCGAUUGAAUGACGCGAUGUCGGAUUAGCUAGUUGGCGGGGUAAAGGCCCACCAAGGCGACGAUCCGUAGCUGGUCUGAGAGGAUGAUCAGCCACACUGGAACUGAGACACGGUCCAGACUCCUACGGGAGGCAGCAGUGGGGAAUAUUGGACAAUGGGCGAAAGCCUGAUCCAGCCAUGCCGCGUGGGUGAAGAAGGCCUUCGGGUUGUAAAGCCCUUUUGUUGGGAAAGAAGAGCAGCAGGUUAAUACCCCGCUGUUUUGACGGUACCAAAAGAAUAAGCACCGGCUAACUUCGUG
rnacentral:rRNA from 1 species